CUCGAAAUACCUUUAGAGCUAGCGUAGGAAAAGGUGAGUACUGGGGGUAAAGCACUGAAUGGCCUAGGCGGCAUAACGCUUACCGAACCUUAUCAAACUCCGAAUACCAGAUACUAUGAGUCCGGCAGUCAGACGGGCAAAGAUAAGUACCGUAGUCAAAAGGGAAACAGCGCAGGUCGUCAGCUAAGGUCCCAAAGUGUAAGUUGAGUGGAAAAGGAUGUGGGAUUUCUAAGACAACUAGGAUGUUGGCUUAGAAUCAGGCGCUCAUUAAAAGAGUGCGUAACAGCUCACUAGUCAAGAGAUCCUGCGCCGAAAUUGUCCGGGGCUCAAACUUACUCACGAAGCUCCGGGGUCACAGAUUGGGGUGAGCGGUAGAGCAGCGCCGUAAUCGGGCUGGAGGCGUACCGGAAGGGGCGGCGGGCUGAUG
rnacentral:rRNA from 1 species